CUAACGGUCGCGGUUUCACAAUGGUUUCAGAAGCAGGAACGAAUAUGUAAGGCGUUUGUUUUCCCCCGGACUGUAGACGCACCAUGUUACAACGCAUAACCUAACGUGGGUUAGUUUAGGGAGGUGUUGUUACGCAGUACAAAACUGUUUUAAUCGCGGACUCCUGCUGAAAGAAAUUAAAUGGCUGAGGGAACAGGAUGCAUCCAGACACAAGAUCCACGGCGCAGAUAAGCAGGAGAUCGGAGACAUUGAACGAUGAGAAGGACCCCGGACCCGUGCAGUUCACCUCCAGUAAAGCAAGCCACCGCUCCUGGUCAGUGGACCAGUCCCUCGGCAGCCAGUUUCAAAAGCCUUGGUGGAAAGUUCUUCAAAUCAGUCUCAUUGGACUUCUUGCAGUCGGAGGUAGACAGAGAGCUGGAGAGAGGUCUGUACCAACGGUUCGAAUCGCAGCAGCCCGCACAAACUGAAACCAGCAAGCCUGAAGAGAACCACAAGCGGAGCUAGCAUCUUUCAAAGCAGCGGUGUGCAAUCUCCUGCCGUCCACCUGCCCGGGUUUAUUAUGUUCUGGAUCAAUUUGUAUAUUAGUAUGGGUGUCAGUUGGCAUCAAAGCUUGUGCAAAGUGAUUUGCAACAGGGUGUUGCUGUAAUUUGCAUGCUGAAAUUAAAUCAAUUUGUGGUAGUGUUUUAAUUUAAA